GCCAGCAGCCAUAUCACUCUGCAACUCACAACUCACAACUGGUAACCCACUGAAGCUAAGUAGGUGUGAGCCUGGUCAGCACCUGGAUGAGAGACCUCUUGGGAAAAACUAAGCUUGCUGCUGGAA
ensembl:rRNA 5S_rRNA 5S ribosomal RNA